rnacentral:rRNA from 1 species
AUUGAACGCUGGCGGCAGGCCUAACACAUGCAAGUCGAGCGGAUGAAGGGAGCUUGCUCCUGGAUUCAGCGGCGGACGGGUGAGUAAUGCCUAGGAAUCUGCCUGGUAGUGGGGGAUAACGUCCGGAAACGGGCGCUAAUACCGCAUACGUCCUGAGGGAGAAAGUGGGGGAUCUUCGGACCUCACGCUAUCAGAUGAGCCUAGGUCGGAUUAGCUAGUUGGUGGGGUAAAGGCCUACCAAGGCGACGAUCCGUAACUGGUCUGAGAGGAUGAUCAGUCACACUGGAACUGAGACACGGUCCAGACUCCUACGGGAGGCAGCAGUGGGGAAUAUUGGACAAAGGGCGAAAGUCUGAUCCAGCCAUGCCGCGUGUGUGAAGAAGGUCUUCGGAUUGUAAAGCACUUUAAGUUGGGAGGAAGGGCAGUAAGUUAAUACCUUGCUGUUUUGACGUUACCAACAGAAUAAGCACCGGCUAACUUCGUG